CAGACACGAAAUAAACUCGGAUUGAAUUUUCUGAAUGUGACCCAAAGCCUUCCAUUAUCAGGCAACUCAUCCAUCAUCAGGUGCCGCAUAUGCGCAAUGAUAGUAAGAGCCAUAUAAACGGAACAAUAGUUCUAGCCAUCAAGCAUGGACAGUAUCGUCUGAUCCCGAAUAGAAGACAAACCGGCCUUCAGAAGAAGAAGGCCUUUUAUUUGCAGCCUGGAACUAUUUAAUGCACGAAAAGGUGGUCAUUUUCCCGAGUACACUUGGGUACACAAGGAACAUCAGCAGCGACUAUAUUGCAUGGGAUUGCAUUGAAUGCAGACGAGAGACAAGUGUGCGACAGCUCGUCAGUGGAACAUCGUGUGGUUGCGACAGACUGACCGUGCGACUUGCAUGUGUGACACCUCGAUGGUGCGACA